GCAAUGAUGAAUUUUUGUGGUUUGAUUACAAAUGAAACCACUCAACAGAUUCCUCUAAGAAGUUCUGAGCUU
rnacentral:snoRNA from 1 species